ensembl:lncRNA
CUUUUUUUUUUUUUUUUUUUUUUUUUUUUUUUGAGACGGAGUCUCACUCUGUCACCCAGGCUGGAGUGUAGUGGUGCGAUCUCAGCUCACUGUAAUCUCCACCUCCUGGGUUCAUGCCCUUCUCCUGCCUCAACCUCCCGAGGAGCUGGAACUACAGGCGCCCACCACCACUCCCAGCUAUUGUUUUUUUUGUAUUUUUAAGAGAGACAGGGUUUCAUCAUGUUAGCCAAGAUAGCCUCGAUCUCCUGACCUCGUGAUCCACCUCCUUGGCCUCCCAAAGUGCUGGGAUAACAGGCGUGAGUCACCCUGCAUGGCCUCCUCACUCUUUUUAAGCACUUUACCAAGAGCUUUCUGUUGAGACUGCAUCAAUGUCAUGUAACAAUUCCACACAAAACUUGUUUCCAUGAGUCUGAUGCUUCUGGACAAGGAAAAAGUCAUCAGUUUUGAGUGAUAACUUUUGCAACAUCAUAGACUCUUGUUUCUAAAGUAUCUACUAGUGGCAAAAUGUGUGUGUGUGUGUGUGUGUGUGUGUGAGUGAGAGAGAGAGAGAGAAGGAAAGAGUGAGAGAGAAAGAAACCCUUUCAAGAAGACCUCCUUAAAUCAGGGAUAAAGUUAUUUUUGAGAAUAAGAUAAAAACCUAAACAUAUCAGUGAUGGCAAGCUUAAUUGCAAUGCAUGGCUGUCAACUGUGUGCAUAAUAUGCACCAGAACUAAACCUUAGAAAACAAAAAUGAAUAAAGCAUAGUCCCUACCUAUAAAGAGAUAACAAUGUUGAAGGGUAAAAUGGAUAAUUAAACACAGUAAUUAUCACAUAAUCACUAUGAUAAGGGUAACCAAGGCAUUGAGUGGUCACAGAUGGUUUCUCUAUAAAGGUGCUACCUCGUGUAACUCCUUGAUGGAUGACAAGGAGAUGGAAAGACAUGAGGAGUGGGACAGUAAGAAUGCAAGGAGCAGGAAAUGGAUUGGGGGAGAAAAGGAAGACCAGAAAAAGGGAUGGCUAAUGUAAAGCCCGUGGGUCCAAACAAACCAAAACAAAGGCAUAUUAAGGAAUUUAAUAUAUUCCAGAAUGGCCAAGGAUUUUAAGUGUAAUUUUACAUUGUGUAUACACGUUCACAUUUUUCUAUAUGCAUAUAGACAGCUACAUCCUUGUAUACCUACUGCUUGGACCCCAAACCUAAUUCAUGGCUGCCAGCCACUCCACAUAUAGGAAACAAGAAAAGGGCAAAUAUAACAUGCCUACAAUGCCCAAAAGGUUUCCUUCUGUUAAAUGCAACCAUGAAAUGAUACGGCUUAACAUAAACUCACUGAAGCCUCAUCUUCCAAGCAUAAUGCAAAGAUUCCAGCUCUAUUCAAUCUCAGCUACAGGGCAAUCACAACUGUAACUAACUCCUACGUCUUUCAUCUUUUGACAAUGAAAUUAAAAUAUUGCUUCAUGCUAUGGUAGGAAAGAACACUCUAAAAUAAAUAAUCCGAAGUUGAAAUAAAACUGAAAAUAACAGCAGAGUCUUUCUGAGACAGUGGGCGGCAAUGUUAACGAAUGGAAGCGUUGCAUACAAAUUGAACAAACACGCAUUGAUUUUGAAGGUAUAUGGAAAGAUGACUCACAUAAGCUAUGGAUAUCAGAAAUUUAAGAAUCUAAGCCAAAAUGAGACAAUUUAGACAAGGGGCAUAAUUAUUUUUUUUUUAAGGUGGAGGAUACACAGGGAAAGUAAAGAUGAAAGUUAGCAUUCACCUGAGAUACACAAUUACAGAAAAGUCAUGGAAAUCAAACAUGCAAGAUGUU